AGCCCUGUGGUGAAAAGUCAUAUUGAAUUGCAAAUUCAAAGAAGCAGCUUCAAUUCUGCCGGGGCUU
rnacentral:tRNA from 1 species